rnacentral:misc_RNA from 1 species
UUCACAUCUGGCUCAUAAUAUCCACUGUACUCUGACCCAUCAGCAAGAUACGCUCCAUAGCUUCCAAUGGAGGCUGCAACCAAAGCUCGGUUAUAUCCACGUAGAGGAUUACUUUUCACAGCAUCCCAGAACUUAUCACGGGCUUCAGCAGCCAAUUUAACGCUUUUCUUUAAUAAUAACUCUCCUUCUUCUAUGGACAGUCCCUUGGACACAAAUCCAGGAAGAGUGGCCUGGUAAGAGGAAGUGACCAAAAUAUCCGCACCAGCCUCCAAAUAUUCCAAGUGAACCCUUUUGAUAAGGUGGGGAUCUUUGAUCAAACAAAGAGCGCUCCAUAGAGGGUCGUUGAUGGCGGCGCCGUGUGUCUCGAGCUGGGUGGCGAAUCCACCGUCAAUGACCGCACAGCCUCCUGCCUUUUCUACAAGAUCCUCCAGCAAUGUGGUUGUCUUCUCCACUCCCAUCUGUGUAUGUAUGUGGAGAUGUGCGAGGAGAGUAAAUACGUAGGCAAAGGAUGCAAGGAAUGGCGCCGGUGAUGGAGGCUUGUGAACGCGGACGAAGGGUUCAAGACUUCAUGUUUUCAACAACCCAUGGGAGUUUGGGACUUGCAAGAGAUUUUCUUUUCUUUUAUAUUUAUUAAUUUUGUGAAUUGUUGCUGGAUAUUGGUUGGUUGGUGUUGGGAUUUGGUAAGAACCUAACACUGGGCGAUUCUUUUCCUAAAGUGGGAAAGGCUCACAACAUGGAAUGGAUCCA